rnacentral:rRNA from 1 species
UACGGAGGGUGCGAGCGUUGUCCGGAAUCAUGACGUGGGCGUAAAGGGCGCGUAGGUGGCGAACUCAAGUCAAGCGGUCGAAAGCCUCGACGCUCGAACGUCGAGUCGGCCGUCGAAACUGGGACGCUUGAGCACUGUAAGAGGGCAGAUGGAAUUCCGGGUGUAGCGGUGGAAUGCGUGAGAGAUCCGGAAGAACACCGGUGGCGAAGGCGGCUCUCUGGUACGUGGACUGACGCUGAGACGCGAAAGCGUGGGGAGCAAACAGG